rnacentral:rRNA from 1 species
UACGUAGGGACCAAGCGUUGUCCGGAAUUAUUGGGCGUAAAGAGCUCGUAGGCGGCUGUCCACGUCGGGUGUGAAAGCUCAGGGCUCAACCCUGAGACGCCAUUCGAUACGGGACGGCUAGAGGUAGGUAGGGGAAAGUGGGAAUUCCUGGUGUAGCGGUGAAAUGCGCAGAUAUCAGGAGGAACACCGGUGGCGAAGGCGGGUCUCUGGGCCGAUACUGACGCUGAGGAGCGAAAGCGUGGGGAGCGAACAGG